rnacentral:lncRNA from 1 species
UGAUAUAACAUCAAACAUUACGUAUUAGAGCUCAACACAACACAACAUCAAAAACGAUGAACUAGAAACUCAAGCUAAGACUAGUCUUUCCCACUUUGAUCUUUAACUUAUUGAGUGACUCUUGACUUGAUUCAAUGUAAAUUUUAACACUAUAAACAAGUUUUUACACACAUAAUUACUCAAUAAUAACCUUAUUAACUCAU